rnacentral:rRNA from 1 species
CUAUACAUGCAGUUGAGCGCUGAGGUUGGUACUUGUACCAACUGGAUGAGCAGCGAACGGGUGAGUAACGCGUGGGGAAUCUGCCUUUGAGCGGGGGACAACAUUUGGAAACGAAUGCUAAUACCGCAUAAAAACUUUAAACACAAGUUUUAAGUUUGAAAGAUGCAAUUGCAUCACUCAAAGAUGAUCCCGCGUUGUAUUAGCUAGUUGGUGAGGUAAAGGCUCACCAAGGCGAUGAUACAUAGCCGACCUGAGAGGGUGAUCGGCCACAUUGGGACUGAGACACGGCCCAAACUCCUACGGGAGGCAGCAGUAGGGAAUCUUCGGCAAUGGACGAAAGUCUGACCGAGCAACGCCGCGUGAGUGAAGAAGGUUUUCGGAUCGUAAAACUCUGUUGGUAGAGAAGAACGUUGGUGAGAGUGGAAAGCUCAUCAAGUGACGGUAACUACCCAGAAAGGGACGGCUAACUACGUGCCAGCAGCCGCGGUAAUACGUAGGUCCCGAGCGUUGUCCGGAUUUAUUGGGCGUAAAGCGAGCGCAGGUGGUUUAUUAAGUCUGGUGUAAAAGGCAGUGGCUCAACCAUUGUAUGCAUUGGAAACUGGUAGACUUGAGUGCAGGAGAGGAGAGUGGAAUUCCAUGUGUAGCGGUGAAAUGCGUAGA